rnacentral:rRNA from 1 species
GGGGGAUAUUGCACAAUGGGGGAAACCCUGAUGCAGCGACGCCGCGUGGAGGAAGAAGGUUUUCGGAUUGUAAACUCCUGUCGUUAGGGACGAUAAUGACGGUACCUAACAAGAAAGCACCGGCUAACUACGUGCCAGCAGCCGCGGUAAAACGUAGGGUGCAAGCGUUGUCCGGAAUUACUGGGUGUAAAGGGAGCGCAGGCGGACCGGCAAGUUGGAAGUGAAAACUAUGGGCUCAACCCAUAAAUUGCUUUCAAAACUGCUGGCCUUGAGUAGUGCAGAGGUAGGUGGAAUUCCCGGUGUAGCGGUGGAAUGCGUAGAUAUCGGGAGGAACACCAGUGGCGAAGGCGACCUACUGGGCACCAACUGACGCUGAGGCUCGAAAGCAUGGGUAGCAAACAGGAUUAGAUACCCUGGUAGUCCAUGCCGUAAACGAUGAUUACUAGGUGUUGGAGGAUUGACCCCUUCAGUGCCGCAGUUAACACAAUAAGUAAUCCACCUGGGGAGUACGACCGCAAGGUUGAAACUCAAAGGAAUUGACGGGGGCCCGCACAAGCAGUGGAUUAUGUGGUUUAAUUCGACGCAACGCGAAGAACCUUACCGGGAUUUGACAUCCUACUAACGAAGCAGAGAUGCAUUAGGUGCCCUUCGGGGAAAGUAGAGACAGGUGGUGCAUGGUUGUCGUCAGCUCGUGUCGUGAGAUGUUGGGUUAAGUCCCGCAACGAGCGCAACCCUUAUUGUUAGUUGCUACGCAAGAGCACUCUAGCGAGACUGCCGUUGACAAAACGGAGGAAGGCGGGGACGACGUCAAAUCAUCAUGCCCCUUAUGUCCCGGGCUACACACGUAAUACAAUGGCGGUCAACAGAGGGAAGCAAAACCGCGAGGCAGAGCAAACCCCUAAAAGCCGUCUCAGUUCGGAUUGCAGGCUGCAACUCGCCUGCAUGAAGUUGGAAUUGCUAGUAAUCGUGGAUCAGCAUGCCACGGUGAAUACGUUCCCG